GUCACUAUGAUGACUUGCAAGCAACUCACUAUGCUUUGAUAUCGAACUACCUGAAUUUUUAAUUCAGUAAUGAAAGAUUUUUAGGCAUAGUCAAGUACUUGUGAAGUUGAUGUGUGAGUCAAAAUGAAAUUGACUCCUCCGAAUAAGUAGGAGUUAAUGUAUCAGUGGUUUCAAUUCAGUAAAACUUUAGUCGGGGUAAUCC
rnacentral:lncRNA from 1 species